UGUCCGGCUGGAAGACGUUAAAGCAAGCGCUUCUUGGGAGGCAACCCAUGCAAAUAAAGAGGACCUAGGACGCUUCGGCAUCAUAAUCAGAUUUGCAUUUCUAAACCCUACUCUUUAUUGCUUUUACUUUGCCAUAUUUUUUGUCAUGUUUGCUAGUUGUGUUAUUUGCGUGUUUUUGUGUGAGUCUAUGUUUGAAACAUUGAGGACAAUGUUUGGUUUAAGUGUGGGGGGGUAAACAAAGUGUUUUUUGUGUCAAAAUUCGUAGGAUUUUACCACCUAACAUUUCAAAGGUUGUUUUUCAUUGUUUUUUAAGUGUUUUUAGAAUGUUUUGAUGUGUUUUUAUGUGGCUUUACCAGAAAUCCGAAAAUUCAAGAAAAAACAUAGAAAGAGUUUUGAAAAAACCCAAAAAGAGUUGUUUUAAAGUUGUUUUUGUGUGUUUGUGUCGUAGAGUACCUUCCAACACAAUGAUGAGGAUUUGGUUUUUAAUUGCAUGACCUUUAAAGAAAGUUAUAAACAUGGAUGGACGUUUGAUUUACUCUUUGGUUUAUGCUUGGUCAUCGUUGUUGUUUACGAAUUCACAUGUAAUCACAAAGGAAAAGAAAAAAAAAAAUUAGUUUUUGUAACAUGCUUGAAGGAAUGAACUCAAACUAACGCUACAACCCUGUGAGACUUGAGCCUAAACAUUCUUUGGAGAGUUAAUAAUCUGUGAAUUUGUUGUUUUCUAAAGUCGUUGCAUGAUCUCAUCAUUCUUUGCUUGGUUGCUACUUAGAAGGCGUGUCAUCAUUAUAGAUCCAAAUAUUAGAACUCAUACCCAUUUCAUUCAAAGCAUAAAAAUUGAUUAGCAUAACUAACAAGAUGAAGUUGUUUAGUAGUUAUCACCAGAGCCAAAAAGCCUUCAACCCAUGCAUUUGUUUUUGUAGGAUCAGCCCCUUUGAGCCUUAUUUAGCCUAUUUUUGUUGUUAGCCACAUUAUCCUUACCUAGCCUAGAUUAGGACUAUCCAUACCCUUGUUCUUAAAGGAUAAUAAAGCAUGACUUAGAGGGAAUUCCUUUUGAUCAAUGUUGUGCAGAAAACUAAGUGUGGGGGAAGGGAAAGUUUGUGUGCCAAAAGAAGUAAGGAGGGCACGGCUUAGACAAAGAAAAAACAAAAGAAAAAAAAAAGAAAAAGAAAAUUCGUGAAAAAGAAAGAAAAAAAGAAAAAAGUAUGAAAAGGAGUUGAAAGAGCAUAAAAUGAGCUCUAAGUUGGUGGUUGUUGAAGCAAGGGUCCAAAAAGUUGAAUUUGACCCUAAGUGUUGCAUGAGUCUUCCCCUUGUUUUUCAAAAUUGAUUUUUGCAUGCAAAAGUGAAUUCUAAGUGUCAAUUUCAUUACUUUUGUUUAUUAUUCUUUAAGAAUGUUUGUUUAUCCUUACCUUUCUUUGUUAGCCAAUACCUUAGCCCCGUUACAACCCUUUGCUUCUAUCUUGAUUGUUUUAUGUGUUUUCAAUAUGUGGAGUUUGGAAUUGGUAUGAGCAUAUGAUAUCCCUGGUUCUCGCAUCUAAGUAGUACCAUUCCAUUCAUGAGAUCAUAUCUAAAUGCUUAUUAACUCCCGAAAAUGCUUUCUUUGUUAUACAUAUAUGUGAGCGUUCGUUUUCAUAUUUACAUCAAUCUUCUCACAUAUAACUAGUAUAGGGUGUGGAGUUUAGAAAAUCUGGGUGAAAAUUGAGUGCAUAUCUAGUAAGGACUUGAGCAAUUUCUCUAAGGCAUGUUACUACAUUCAAAUCAUGUUUUAAAUGGUUAUAUGUGAACUAGUACGUGGUGACUAUGAUUAAGUAUGUGCUUAAGUGUGAAGAUGACUAAAAUAUAUGGGAAUGAUGAUUUUUUAAUAUGUCAAUGUACCAUUGGAAAUCCCUGAGGCGAUUGUUGAAGGUUUAGGUCAUGUUUUGUUUUCGUUGUUUUGCUCGAGGACUAGCAAAGCUAAGUGUGGGGGAAUUUGAUAGGAGCAUAUUUAUGCGCCUUAGUUAGCUAGUUCUUAUGCAUUUAUGUUGUGUUUUCUUAGUUAAAGUAGUCUUUUAAGCUAUUUUCAUGUGUUUUCAGGUUUUAGAGACAAAGUGAGCAAAAGGAUGCAAUUUGGAGCAUUUUGGAGCAAAAUUGGGCUAGAAUGGAGUUCAUGCACAUGAAGCACAAGGGAUGGACGAAUUUGAAGGAUUGAUGAAGCUAGGAAUGUGUUUUGAAGUUGAAGAAUUGAAGAUACAAAGAUUCCUAAUUGAAGUGGGAAAGUGCUUAAUUGAAGAUGAAAUCCUAGUCAAACAUGGAUUCCUAGUUGAAGAUGGAUUCCUAGUUGAAGUUGGAUUCCUAGAAGAUUGAAGUUUCCAACUCAAACAAGGUUUCCUACUUGAAGAAGGGAAGUUGAAGCCAAAGAAUCAGCUCAAGUGAAGAAACCUUAUCCAAACCCUAUCCUAUCCAAUCCUAUCUUAUCUUAUCCUAUCCUAAUCCUAUCCUAAUUUAAUUCCAGCUGCAUGGGGG
rnacentral:lncRNA from 1 species